GCAUCGUCUUUUGACCAAAGAUUUAUCGCUGAAAGAUGGGCUCGCGGCCGAUUAGGUAGUUGGUGAGAUAAUAGCCCACCAAGCCGACGAUCGGUAGCCGGACUGAGAGGUUGAACGGCCACAUUGGGACUGAGACACGGCCCAGACUCCUACGGGAGGCAGCAGUGGGGGAUAUUGCACAAUGGGGGAAACCCUGAUGCAGCGACGCCGCGUGAGGGAAGACGGCCUUCGGGUUGUAAACCUCUGUCUUCGGGGACGAAUAAAUGACGGUACCCGAGGAGGAAGCCACGGCUAACUACGUGCCAGCAGCCGCGGUAAUACGUAGGUGGCAAGCGUUGUCCGGAAUUACUGGGUGUAAAGGGAGCGUAGGCGGGGAGGCAAGUUGAAUGUCUAAACUAUCGGCUCAACUGAUAGUCGCGUUCAAAACUGCCACUCUUGAGUGCAGUAGAGGUAGGCGGAAUUCCUAGUGUAGCGGUGAAAUGCGUAGAUAUUAGGAGGAACACCAGUGGCGAAGGCGGCCUACUGGGCUGUAACUGACGCUGAGGCUCGAAAGCGUGGGUAGCAAACAGGAUUAGAUACCCUGGUAGUCCACGCCGUAAACGAUGAUUACUAGGUGUGGGGGGACUGACCCCUUCCGUG
rnacentral:rRNA from 1 species